CGACUCUCGGCAACGGAUAUCUCGGCUCUCGCAUCGAUGAAGAACGUAGCGAACUGCGAUACUUGGUGUGAAUUGCAGAAUCCCGUGAACCAUCGAGUCUUUGAACGCAAGUUGCGCCCGAAUCCAUCAGGACAAGGGCACGUUUGCCUGGGUGUCACAC
rnacentral:rRNA from 1 species